CCAGUCAGUCUGACCACGUCGGAG
rnacentral:siRNA from 1 species